rnacentral:rRNA from 1 species
AGAGUUUGAUCCUGGCUCAGAACGUACGCUGGCGGCACGCCUAACACAUGCAAGUCGAACGAAGUAGCAAUACUUAGUGGCAGACGGGUGAGUAACAUGUGGGUAUCUACCCUUUGGCCUGGAAUAACACGAGGAAACUUGUGCUAAUACCGGAUAAGUCUUUACGGAGAAAGCUUUAUGCACCAUUGGAUGAGCCCGCACUUGAUUAGUUUGUUGGUAGGGUAAUGGCCUACCAAGACUAUGAUCAAUAGCUGAUUUGAGAGGAUGAUCAGCCACAUUGGGACUGAGACACGGCCCAAACUCCUACGGGAGGCAGCAGUGGGGAAUCUUGCACAAUGGAGGAAACUCUGAUGCAGCGAUGCCGCGUGAGUGAAGAAGGCCUUUGGGUUGUAAAGCUCUUUCGUCGGGGAAGAAAAUGACUGUACCCGAAUAAGAGGGUCCGGCUAACUUCGUGCCAGCAGCCGCGGUAAUACGAAGGGACCUAGCGUAGUUCGGAAUUACUGGGCUUAAAGAGUUCGUAGGUGGUUGAAAAAGUUGGUGGUGAAAUCCCAGAGCUUAACUCUGGAACUGCCAUCAAAACUUUUCAGCUAGAGUAUGAUAGAGGAAAGCAGAAUUUCUAGUGUAGAGGUGAAAUUCGUAGAUAUUAGAAAGAAUACCAAUUGCGAAGGCAGCUUUCUGGAUCAUUACUGACACUGAGGAACGAAAGCAUGGGUAGCGAAGAGGAUUAGAUACCCUCGUAGUCCAUGCCGUAAACGAUGUGUGUUAGACGUUGGAAAUUUAUUUUCAGUGUCGCAGGAAACCGAUAAACACACCGCCUGGGGAGUACGACCGCAAGGUUAAAACUCAAAUGAAUUG